rnacentral:rRNA from 1 species
UCGAGAAUUUUUCACAAUGGGCGAAAGCCUGAUGGAGCGACGCCGCGUGGGGGAUGAAUGGCUUCGGCCCGUAAACCCCUGUCAUUCGCGAGCAAACGUUAUUAUUUAAAAGAUGAUAGCCUGAUAGUAGCGAAAAAGGAAGGAACGGCUAACUCUGUGCCAGCAGCCGCGGUAAUACAGAGGUCCCAAGCGUUGUUCGGAUUUACUGGGCGUAAAGGGUGCGUAGGUGGUGGGGUAAGUCGGAUGUGAAAUCUCCGAGCUCAACUCGGAAAGUGCAUUGGAAACUACCCUGAUCGAGGGUUGGAGGGGGGGCUGGAAUACUUGGUGUAGCAGUGAAAUGCGUAGAUAUCAAGUGGAACACCAGUGGCGAAGGCGAGUCCCUGGACAACUCCUGACACUGAGGCACGAAAGCUAGGGGAGCAAACAG